rnacentral:rRNA from 1 species
UGCAAAUCAAUAUAAAUUGAUAUUAAUAUUUAUUUAUUAUUUAUUUGUAUUUAUUUAUUUAUUUAUAAUUUAUUAAAAAUAAUUAUAUAAUUUAUUGUUUUAGUAGUGUUUAUUGAAAAAAUAAUUUUAAUAAUAGUUUAUUAGGUAUUGUGAAAGGUUAUUGAAAUAUUUGAAAAAUUUAUAUUUAAAAAGAAAAUUUAAUUUAUUGUACCUUGUGUAUCAGGGUUUAUUAAAUAUUUUAUAAAUAUUUAUUUAUCUCGAUUUUAUAAGAGUUAAUAAUUUAUAAAAGUUAAUGUGUCAAAAUUAUUUUAAAUAAAUUAUUAGAAAUGAAAUGUUAUUCGUUUAUAAAGGUAUCUAGUUUUUUUAGAAAUAAAUUUAAUUUACAAAAUUUUAAUUUUUAUUUUUUUUUAAAAAAAAAUAAAAAUUUAUUAUUUUGAAUAUUUUAAGGGAUAAGCUUUAAAAUAAAUUUUUAAAAAUUAGUAAUGAUUAUUAAAAAUGUAUGCAUAGAAUUAGCAAUCAUUUAUAAGUUUGUUAUAAAUUAUUUUAUAUUUAUAUUAUUUAUUUUAUUUUAAAUUUUAUAUAAAAAUUUUUAUUUUAAUAUAAUUUGUUAAUUAAUAAUGAUAAAAUUAGUAUAUAUUAUUGUUUAAAUAAUUUAAAAUGUUAAGUUUAUAUAAAGAAUUCGGCAAAUUUUAUUCUCGCCUGUUUAACAAAAACAUGUCUUUUUGUAUUAUAUAAAAAGUCUGACCUGCCACUGAAUUUAUUUAAAUGGCCGCAGUAUACUAACUGUGCAAAGAUAGCAUAAUCAUUAGUCUUUUAAUUGAAGGCUGGAAUGAACGGUUGGACGAAGUAUAAGCUGUUUCAUUUAAAUUUAUUAUAGAAUUUUAUUUUUUAGUCAAAAAGCAAAAAUUUUUUCAAAAGACGAGAACACCCUAUAAAUCUUUAUAUUUUUUAAUAAUUAAAUUUUAUAGAUUAAUUUUGUUUUUAUAUUAAUAAAUAUUUUGUUGGGGUGAUAUUAAAAUUUAAUAAACUUUUAAUUUUAUUAAUUCAUUAAUUUAUGAUUUGUUGAUCCGUUAAUAGCGAUUAUAAGAUUAAGUUACUUUAGGGAUAACAGCGAAAUUUUUUUGGAGAGUUCAUAUCGAUAAAAAAGUUUGCAACCUCGAUGUUGGAUUAAGAUUUAUUUUUAGGUGUAGCUGCUUAAAUAUAAAGUCUGUUCGACUUUUAAA